rnacentral:rRNA from 1 species
AGCGAACGCUGGCGGCAGGCCUAACACAUGCAAGUCGAACGAACCUUUCGGGGUUAGUGGCGGACGGGUGAGUAACACGUGGGAACGUGCCUUUAGGUUCGGAAUAACUCAGGGAAACUUGUGCUGAUACCGAAUGUGCCCUUCGGGGGAAAGAUUUAUCGCCUUUAGAGCGGCCCGCGUCUGAUUAGCUAGUUGGUUGAGGUAAUGGCUCACCAAGGCGACGAUCAGUAGCUGGUCUGAGAGGAUGAUCAGCCACAUUGGGACUGAGACACGGCCCAAACUCCUACGGGAGGCAGCAGUGGGGAAUCUUGCGCAAUGGGCGAAAGCCUGACGCAGCCAUGCCGCGUGAAUGAUGAAGGUCUUAGGAUUGUAAAAUUCUUUCACCGGGGACGAUAAUGACGGUACCCGGAGAAGAAGCCCCGGCUAACUUCGUG